CAGUAGCCGCGGUAAUACGAAGGGUGCAAGCGUUAAUCGGAAUUACUGGGCGUAAAGGGCGUGUAGGCGGCCUGGGGCGUCCCAUGUGAAAGGCCACGGCUCAACCGUGGAGGAGCGUGGGAUACGCUCAGGCUAGAGGGUGGGAGAGGGUGGUGGAAUUCCCGGAGUAGCGGUGAAAUGCGCAGAUACCGGGAGGAACGCCGAUGGCAAAGGCAGCCACCUGGUCCACUUCUGACGCUGAGGCGCGAAAGCGUGGGGAGCAAACCGGAUUAGAUACCCCCGUAGUCCCUGUCUCUUAUAC
rnacentral:rRNA from 1 species